GGGUUGUGAGGUUAAGCGACUAAGCGUACACGGUGGAUGCCCUGGCAGUCAGAGGCGAUGAAGGACGUGCUAAUCUGCGAUAAGCGUCGGUAAGGUGAUAUGAACCGUUAUAACCGGCGAUUUCCGAAUGGGGAAACCCAGUGUGUUUCGACACACUAUCAUUAACUGAAUCCAUAGGUUAAUGAGGCGAACCGGGGGAACUGAAACAUCUAAGUACCCCGAGGAAAAGAAAUCAACCGAGAUUCCCCCAGUAGCGGCGAGCGAACGGGGAGCAGCCCAGAGCCUGAAUCAGUGUGUGUGUUAGUGGAAGCGUCUGGAAAGGCGCGCGAUACAGGGUGACAGCCCCGUACACAAAAAUGCACAUGCUGUGAGCUCGAUGAGUAGGGCGGGACACGUGGUAUCCUGUCUGAAUAUGGGGGGACCAUCCUCCAAGGCUAAAUACUCCUGACUGACCGAUAGUGAACCAGUACCGUGAGGGAAAGGCGAAAAGAACCCCGGCGAGGGGAGUGAAAAAGAACCUGAAACCGUGUACGUACAAGCAGUGGGAGCACGCUUAGGCGUGUGACUGCGUACCUUUUGUAUAAUGGGUCAGCGACUUAUAUUCUGUAGCAAGGUUAACCGAAUAGGGGAGCCGAAGGGAAACCGAGUCUUAACUGGGCGUUAAGUUGCAGGGUAUAGACCCGAAACCCGGUGAUCUAGCCAUGGGCAGGUUGAAGGUUGGGUAACACUAACUGGAGGACCGAACCGACUAAUGUUGAAAAAUUAGCGGAUGACUUGUGGCUGGGGGUGAAAGGCCAAUCAAACCGGGAGAUAGCUGGUUCUCCCCGAAAGCUAUUUAGGUAGCGCCUCGUGAAUUCAUCUCCGGGGGUAGAGCACUGUUUCGGCAAGGGGGUCAUCCCGACUUACCAACCCGAUGCAAACUGCGAAUACCGGAGAAUGUUAUCACGGGAGACACACGGCGGGUGCUAACGUCCGUCGUGAAGAGGGAAACAACCCAGACCGCCAGCUAAGGUCCCAAAGUCAUGGUUAAGUGGGAAACGAUGUGGGAAGGCCCAGACAGCCAGGAUGUUGGCUUAGAAGCAGCCAUCAUUUAAAGAAAGCGUAAUAGCUCACUGGUCGAGUCGGCCUGCGCGGAAGAUGUAACGGGGCUAAACCAUGCACCGAAGCUGCGGCAGCGACGCUUAUGCGUUGUUGGGUAGGGGAGCGUUCUGUAAGCCUGUGAAGGUGUGCUGUGAGGCAUGCUGGAGGUAUCAGAAGUGCGAAUGCUGACAUAAGUAACGAUAAAGCGGGUGAAAAGCCCGCUCGCCGGAAGACCAAGGGUUCCUGUCCAACGUUAAUCGGGGCAGGGUGAGUCGACCCCUAAGGCGAGGCCGAAAGGCGUAGUCGAUGGGAAACAGGUUAAUAUUCCUGUACUUGGUGUUACUGCGAAGGGGGGACGGAGAAGGCUAUGUUGGCCGGGCGACGGUUGUCCCGGUUUAAGCGUGUAGGCUGGUUUUCCAGGCAAAUCCGGAAAAUCAAGGCUGAGGCGUGAUGACGAGGCACUACGGUGCUGAAGCAACAAAUGCCCUGCUUCCAGGAAAAGCCUCUAAGCAUCAGGUAACAUCAAAUCGUACCCCAAACCGACACAGGUGGUCAGGUAGAGAAUACCAAGGCGCUUGAGAGAACUCGGGUGAAGGAACUAGGCAAAAUGGUGCCGUAACUUCGGGAGAAGGCACGCUGAUAUGUAGGUGAAGUCCCUCGCGGAUGGAGCUGAAAUCAGUCGAAGAUACCAGCUGGCUGCAACUGUUUAUUAAAAACACAGCACUGUGCAAACACGAAAGUGGACGUAUACGGUGUGACGCCUGCCCGGUGCCGGAAGGUUAAUUGAUGGGGUUAGCGCAAGCGAAGCUCUUGAUCGAAGCCCCGGUAAACGGCGGCCGUAACUAUAACGGUCCUAAGGUAGCGAAAUUCCUUGUCGGGUAAGUUCCGACCUGCACGAAUGGCGUAAUGAUGGCCAGGCUGUCUCCACCCGAGACUCAGUGAAAUUGAACUCGCUGUGAAGAUGCAGUGUACCCGCGGCAAGACGGAAAGACCCCGUGAACCUUUACUAUAGCUUGACACUGAACAUUGAGCCUUGAUGUGUAGGAUAGGUGGGAGGCUUUGAAGUGUGGACGCCAGUCUGCAUGGAGCCGACCUUGAAAUACCACCCUUUAAUGUUUGAUGUUCUAACGU
rnacentral:rRNA from 1 species